UUCCCCCCGGUCCCCGGAGCGGGGGGUCGGAGACUGGCCUCCCGUGCGCUCCUGCCGCGCGGCCGGCCC
rnacentral:rRNA from 1 species